rnacentral:rRNA from 1 species
GGACUACAAGGGUAUCUAAUCCUGUUUGCUCCCCUAGCUUUCGUUCCUCAGCGUCAGUUGUGGUCCAGCGCGCCGCUUUCGCCACGGGUGUUCCUGCAGAUAUCUACGCAUUUCACCGCUACACCUGCAAUUCCACGCGCCUCUCCCACACUCAAGCACAGCAGUUUUGAAAGCAGCCUAUGGGUUGAGCCCAGAGAUUUCACUUCCAACUUGCCGCACCGCCUACGAACCCUUUACACCCAGUAAUUCCGAGCAACGCUGGCCCCCUACGUAUUACCGCGGCUGCUGGCAC